GCAUAUCAAUAAGCGGAGGAAAAGAAACCAACCGGGAUUGCCUUAGUAACGGCGAGUGAAGCGGCAAAAGCUCAAAUUUGAAAUCUGGUACCUUCGGUGCCCGAGUUGUAAUUUGGAGAGGGCAACUUUGGGGCCGUUCCUUGUCUAUGUUCCUUGGAACAGGACGUCAUAGAGGGUGAGAAUCCCGUGUGGCGAGGAGUGCGGUUCUUUGUAAAGUGCCCUCGAAGAGUCGAGUUGUUUGGGAAUGCAGCUCUAAGUGGGUGGUAAAUUCCAUCUAAAGCUAAAUAUUGGCGAGAGACCGAUAGCGAACAAGUACAGUGAUGGAAAGAUGAAAAGAACUUUGAAAAGAGAGUGAAAAAGUACGUGAAAUUGUUGAAAGGGAAGGGCAUUUGAUCAGACAUGGUGUUUUGUGCCCUCUGCUCCUUGUGGGUAGGGGAAUCUCGCAUUUCACUGGGCCAGCAUCAGUUUUGGUGGCAGGAUAAAUCCAUAGGAAUGUAGCUUGCCUCGGUAAGUAUUAUAGCCUGUUGGGAAUACUGCCAGCUGGGACUGAGGACUGCGACGUAAGUCAAGGAUGCUGGCAUAAUGGUUAUAUGCCGCCCGUCUUGAAACACGGACC
rnacentral:rRNA from 1 species